rnacentral:rRNA from 1 species
AGGGGGGACGGAGAAGGCUAUGUUAGCCGGGCGACGGUUGUCCCGGUUUAAGCAUGUAGGCUGGUUGUCCAGGCAAAUCCGGAUAACCAAGGCUGAGGUGUGAUGACGAGGCACUACGGUGCUGAAGUAACAAAUGCCCUGCUUCCAGGAAAAGCCUCUAAGCAUCAGGUAACAUCAAAUCGUACCCCAAACCGACACAGGUGGUCAGGUAGAGAAUACCAAGGCGCUUGAGAGAACUCGGGUGAAGGAACUAGGCAAAAUGGUGCCGUAACUUCGGGAGAAGGCACGCUGGUGUGUAGGUGAAGUCCCUGCGGAUGGAGCUGAGACCAGUCGAAGAUACCAGCUGGCUGCAACUGUUUAUUAAAAACACAGCACUGUGCAAACACGAAAGUGGACGUAUACGGUGUGACGCCUGCCCGGUGCCGGAAGGUUAAUUGAUGGGGUUAUCCGUAAGGAGAAGCUCUUGAUCGAAGCCCCGGUAAACGGCGGCCGUAACUAUAACGGUCCUAAGGUAGCGAAAUUCCUUGUCGGGUAAGUUCCGACCUGCACGAAUGGCGUAAUGAUGGCCAGGCUGUCUCCACCCGAGACUCAGUGAAAUUGAACUCGCUGUGAAGAUGCAGUGUACCCGCGGCAAGACGGAAAGACCCCGUGAACCUUUACUAUAGCUUGACACUGAACAUUGAGCCUUGAUGUGUAGGAUAGGUGGGAGGCUUUGAAGCGUGGACGCCAGUCUGCGUGGAGCCAACCUUGAAAUACCACCCUUUAAUGUUUGAUGUUCUAACGUUGGCCCCUUACCGGGGUUGCGGACAGUGUCUGGUGGGUAGUUUGACUGGGGCGGUCUCCUCCCAAAGCGUAACGGAGGAGCACGAAGGUUAGCUAAUCCUGGUCGGACAUCAGGAGGUUAGUGCAAUGGCAUAAGCUAGCUUGACUGCGAGCGUGACGGCGCGAGCAGGUGCGAAAGCAGGUCAUAGUGAUCCGGUGGUUCUGAAUGGAAGGGCCAUCGCUCAACGGAUAAAAGGUACUCCGGGGAUAACAGGCUGAUACCGCCCAAGAGUUCAUAUCGACGGCGGUGUUUGGCACCUCGAUGUCGGCUCAUCACAUCCUGGGGCUGAAGUAGGUCCCAAGGGUAUGGCUGUUCGCCAUUUAAAGUGGUACGCGAGCUGGGUUUAGAACGUCGUGAGACAGUUCGGUCCCUAUCUGCCGUGGGCGCUGGAGAAUUGAGGGGGGCUGCUCCUAGUACGAGAGGACCGGAGUGGACGCAUCACUGGUGUUCGGGUUGUCAUGCCAAUGGCACUGCCCGGUAGCUAAAUGCGGAAGAGAUAAGUGCUGAAAGCAUCUAAGCACGAAACUUGCCCCGAGAUGAGUUCUCCCUGAGACUU